rnacentral:rRNA from 1 species
ACGAACGCUGGCGGCGUGCUUAACACAUGCAAGUCGAACGGAAAGGCCCUGCUUUUGUGGGGUGCUCGCGUAGCGAACGGGUGAGUAACACGUGAGUAACCUGCCCUUGACUUUGGGAUAACUUCAGGAAACUGGGGCUAAUACCGGAUAGGAGCUCCUGCUGCAUGGUGGGGGUUGGAAAGUUUCGGCGGUUGGGGAUGGACUCGCGGCUUAUCAGCUUGUUGGUGGGGUAGUGGCUUACCAAGGCUUUGACGGGUAGCCGGCCUGAGAGGGUGACCGGCCACAUUGGGACUGAGAUACGGCCCAGACUCCUACGGGAGGCAGCAGUGGGGAAUAUUGCACAAUGGGCGGAAGCCUGAUGCAGCAACGCCGCGUGCGGGAUGACGGCCUUCGGGUUGUAAACCGCUUUCGCCUGUGACGAAGCGUGAGUGACGGUAAUGGGUAAAGAAGCACCGGCUAACUACGUG